AUGAAAGGGGGGCAGAAAAGUUGUAACUCACUGAAAACAUUACCAUAUAUUCCUUGAAAUUACACAUUAUUACAUAAAUUUUAAAAUUUUAUGAGCGCGUUAAAAAAAGAACUGGUUACCAAGUAGAGUUGUCCAUCAUUAACAGAAUUUAAAAGACACUACAGGAAUCAAGAAAUUUGAAAAUAACUCAAAAUAAAGUUUUACUGUUUCAAAAAAUGAUGCUAUCUUGCAAUACUAUUUUAAGGAAAAUAUAACACCAUACUCAACUCCUGCCCCUGUGAAGAAAGCAUUUGAGAAAAAAAAAAUCUGAAGUUUGUUUUUACCCUCUUUCACCAUCUUUGGGUGAACACAAGUAAUAAAACAUGCCACUUUUUUUUUUUUUUAUCCUUCUAUGUAAUGAUCUUAGAGGAAUGUUGCUAUUUUCUUACCUAGAAGCUGAAUAAUAAAAGAUGCAAACCCAUAGCAAUAUACUGUAGAAGAAGCAUCAGGAUUUUGAAAUCCUCAGCAUUCUGUGCAAUGAUUUUCAAGAAAACCAAAAAAACAAACUCAACAGUUUAAGAAACCCGUCUGUGACCCAAAUAUCCGUUGUGUUAAUCUUAGUAUUCCACAGAAUAAAUUGUGUUCCAAAUGCCAGGGCUGAUUGAAAAAACACCCCCCCCCCCUCCUUUUUUCAAUGUCAAAGCUGCAUAUGUAUACCAGUGGGUGCCAGAGAAGAUACUGCAGCACUGACUUAGUAACAAGAGGGACUACACUGAAAUCAGGAUUAAAAAUCAACUCAGCUCUUUCAGUUCUCCAGCAAAUGAAAGCUCACACCACACAUUGCAUCCCAGCUUGCCAAGUCGUGGUCAAACUCUCCUCCAACUCUCAUACUGAAACAGUGCUGCCAUGCCAGUAUAUUCUGUCUUGAAGAAGAAAUUAAGUAUACCAAAAAAAGAAGAGGAAAUAUAUUUCAGGAAACUUGAACAGGUUCCCUGCCAGCAGUUUUCAGUCAGAGAGAUACCAGCAGAUGAGAGGAACGAUGACAGCACCUUUGCUCACAAAAGUGUCCUAAAGAUGAUUUAGUACGUGUCAUUAUGAAGUUCUGUGAAACACUAAUUAGUCAUGUCAUUGGAAAGAGCACAAGUAUCAAUGAAAAAACCUGUUUCCAGAGAGAAGGUUGAAGGCUGUGAAGAACAGGUGGCUUAACACUAUGAACUGAUCAACCUGAAUGAAGCAAUUUUAAUUCAAUGAAGACCUCGGAAAAAAGAAAGCAAGAAUAAAUGGGGGAAAGGGUGCGACAACUAUAUCAAUUAAAAAAAUUGUAUCAGAUGGUAUACACUGAAAGAAGCUGUACUUUUAUGUAUAAACACAAGAUUUAGAUGCAGUUUUGAAACCCUAAUGUUCUCCUACUGUAGUGUGCAGCUCUGUGUCCAUACACACAUACAUCAAGGUGAUAAAACUCUGUAUUUAUUCUAAGUAUAAUAAUUAGUUACAGUAAAAGAAUUUAUAAAUAAAACUGUCACCAUAUCACUUCCUCAAUUAUAAGAAACCCUAUUACUAUCACAUUAUUACCCAAACAGGCAGCCCUAAGGAAAACAUCAGCCCUGCCAAAGUAUCUAUCACCCUAGAGCAAAUUCUUAACAUGUAUCAGUGAGGAGUUCUGAAUAUAUAGAAAGAAAAUAACCUGGUCAAAGCAGUUUCUAUACUGUCAUCACCAAAUACAAUUAAAUUUAUGUAGUUUCCUA